rnacentral:rRNA from 1 species
GUAGGUGGCAAGUGUUGUCCGGAAUUAUUGGGCGUAAAGCGCGCGCAGGCGGUUCUUUAAGUCUGAUGUGAAAGCCCACGGCUCAACCGUGGAGGGUCAUUGGAAACUGGAGAACUUGAGUACAGAAGAGGAAAGCGGAAUUCCACGUGUAGCGGUGAAAUGCGUAGAGAUGUGGAGGAACACCAGUGGCGAAGGCGGCUUUCUGGUCUGUAACUGACGCUGGGGCGCGAAAGCGUGGGGAGCAAACAGGGAUUAGAUACCCUGGUAGUCCACGCCGUAAACGAUGAGUGCUAAGUGUUAGGGGGUUUCCCGCCCCUUAGUGCUGCAGCUAACGCAUUAAGCACUCCGCCUGGGGAGUACGGCCGCAAGGCUG